CUAUGCGCCUUGCCAGCCCGCUCAGUCAGAGUUUGAUCCUGGCUCAGGACGAACGCUGGCGGCGUGCUUAACACAUGCAAGUCGAACGAUGAAGCCCUUCGGGGUGGAUUAGUGGCGAACGGGUGAGUAACACGUGGGCAAUCUGCCCUUCACUCUGGGACAAGCCCUGGAAACGGGGUCUAAUACCGGAUAACACUCUGUCCCGCAUGGGACGGGGUUAAAAGCUCCGGCGGUGAAGGAUGAGCCCGCGGCCUAUCAGCUUGUUGGUGGGUGAUGGCCUACCAAGGCGACGACGGGUAGCCGGCCUGAGAGGGCGACCGGCCACACUGGGACUGAGACACGGCCCAG
rnacentral:rRNA from 1 species